GACAGAAUGUAAAGUCCUCCAUUCUUUUUUUUUAAAGUAUCGAGGAUUGAACCCAACGUCUUUGCACUGAGAUACAUCCCCAGCCCAUUUUUUACUUUGAGAUUGGGUCUUGCUAAGUUGCUCUAACUGGGCUUGUAUUUGCAAUCCUGCCGUCUCAGCAUCCCAGAGUGCUGGGAUUAUAGAUGUCCAACACUGCACUUGACUCUCAGUUCUUGAAUGAAGUAAAAAUAAUAAAUUUGCAUCUCUCCCUGUUAGAGGCAAGAACCAGGAGAUUCUUUCCUUCCAUUUUGCCCUCCAUUUUUCUUUUCUGUUUCCCUUCCAUUUCUCUUCUCUUUAUCUUGGCUUGCCAGUCUUUAAAGUCCACUUAAAACUCACCUCUUGCCACAGUGUUGUAAGGAUUUAGCUCCCUAAGACCCCACCUCUCCCCUGUGGCUCCCUGCCUCCUCCUCUGGGAAUGGACAGCUGACAACUGCAGAGGUGUUUGUGGGAAAAUGAAGCGCCAGGCUCACUGUACCUGGUCCCUUGCCCAGGCAGUGGGGCCGAGGGGGCCUCUUACCUCCCAGUAGUCAGUGAUGCUCUUGUAAAUGUUGGUGUUGGGGAUCUGGCCCAGGCGGGUAAUCUCUGUUCUGGAAGGAAGUGCACUUGCUGUUAGGUGGUGGGGGCCUCACCUUGCCGUGGCCAACCUCCUACCUGAGGCAGAGUACCUGUGCGAAUGGACAGUGAUGAUGAAGAAAGAGAAAAGCAGCGAGAUGAGCAGUCCAAUGUCCAGUCCCAGGAAGAUCGUGGAUGUGAAUGUCACCAUCCAGGUGUGGUGGUGCACGCCUGGGAUCCCAGCACUCAGGAGGCUGAGGCAGGAGAAUCUGCAAGCUCAAGGCCAGACUGGGCUACCUAGUGAGUUCGAGGCCAGCCUGAACCACAAAGCAAGAAGACCCUGAUUCAAAGAAAACAGCAAAAAAGUUUUAAGAAAGGAUCUGUGUAUAUUAUCCUGGAAGAUAUUUACAUUAACUGAAUUAAAAGUCAUUCUAACGUGCAGUGGAUGACAAGCCCCUUCUACUGGGAUCUGCAAGGGGCUGUUGCCACUCAAUUUCAUUUCAUUUCACAUAGUUGGAAGGAAGUCUCCAUGUCUCUAUGUACCAACUUUGACUCUCCUUUAAAAAAUAAAAAUAGACGGAGACCUGCCUCGGAAGCGCAAGAUCCCUGAGUUCAAUCCCCAGCACCAAAAAUAAAUAAAUAAAUAGUAACGAAAAAUAGA